AAAUUGAAGAGUUUGAUCAUGGCUCAGAUUGAACGCUGGCGGCAGGCCUAACACAUGCAAGUCGAACGGUAACAGGAAGCAGCUUGCUGCUUUGCU
rnacentral:rRNA from 3 species